GUUGAUUUUAUGGACAUUAUUAUAUCACACUUAAAAGCAUAUUAUAUUUUAAUAGUUAACUUAAAAUCUUUAAUGAUUUGUUCUGGGAUAUGAAGAUGGGGAAUAACAUUACUAGCAACCAUUGAGCUGACACUGGACAGUUAUAAUAGCUUCAUCCUCAGGCUUCCAGGAAACUGGCUGCCCCAACUCCAGGCCUCGUAUACACGGACAACAAUGCCAAGAAGAAGAGGCCCAGGACUUCUGGAGAUUACAAUGGUACCAAUACAGCAUUUGACAAAGGAAUGACUUGUGGAUGCAUAAUGCAAUUGGAAGUCUAACUGCAAAGCUCUUAGAAGGAUCUUGAUCAGAAGGCACUGUGCUGGGGCUGCAGGAGGAAACGGACGGAGUUUCUGCCUCUCACAGAGUUUCCGUUGCCCUGAGGUGAUGUGUUAAACACUGAACCACAUGAGCCAGGCGUGACAAGCCGUAUGAAGGAAAAUACGAGAUGCCGUGAGAGGACAUAACAGAGAAAAUUAUUUUACUUUGGGUAAUCAAGGAGAAUCUUUUUGCAAAGGUGUAUUUCUGCUAAGAUGAAAGGAUGGGGAGAAGGUAGUCAGUCAACAAGUUUAGAGAGAGAACAUUCUAGGCAGAAGAAGCAAUAGGACAGAAGGCGUUUGACAUCAUCUAGGAACUGAAAGAAAGGUAAUGAGACUCAAGUGGAGGGAAGGAGAGGGAAAGCGAUAUGGCAUAUGGAGCAAAGGUAGGAAAUAGCCAGGUUAUGCAGGUCCUUGUAAGUUCUUUGAGGAUUUGUGUUUCUAUCUGAAUGGAAAAGAGGUAAGGAAGUGCUGUAAGAUGUGACUUACAUUGUAUAAGGGCAUCUAACUGCCUUGAGGGGAGUGGCAUCUAGGAAAGGAAAGUAAAAAGAGAGACCAAUUAGAGAGUUCUGGCAAUAUUUCAGGCACCAGAUAAGGGUGGUUCGGACUAGAGGGAUGGUAGUGGACACAGAAAGAAGUGGUAGACUACAGAUUUAUUUUAGAGUUAGGAUAGACAGGACUUGAUACAUUAAAUAUUGAAGGUGAGGGAAAGACAGGUUUCAAGGAUGACUCAGCUGCUCUGAUAUAGGCCUAGAUAGAUGCUCAUGUUCACCCAAAGCUGGCGUUUGGAUGGUUGGUGAUGGGAAGAGAGUUGCGUGAGCGAUGGGAAUAAUGGAUCAGCCAUGGACUCCAAGCUGGAUGAAAAAAUAGAGACAGAUAGGGCCAACAGCUAGAGAGAAGGUAGAGUUGUUUAUGGA
rnacentral:lncRNA from 1 species